rnacentral:misc_RNA from 1 species
CCGAGUUUACAACUCCCAAACCCCUGUGAACAUACCUAUUGUUGCCUCGGCGGUGCCUGUUCCGACAGCCCGCCAGAGGACCCCAAACCCUGAUUACAUUAAAGAAUUCUUCUGAGUAACCGAUUAAAUAAAUCAAAACUUUCAACAACGGAUCUCUUGGUUCUGGCAUCGAUGAAGAACGCAGCGAAAUGCGAUAAGUAAUGUGAAUUGCAGAAUUCAGUGAAUCAUCGAAUCUUUGAACGCACAUUGCGCCCGCUAGUAUUCUGGCGGGCAUGCCUGUUCGAGCGUCAUUUCAACCCUCAAGCCCCCGGGCUUGGUGUUGGGGAUCGGCGAGCCUCCGCGCCCGCCGUCCCCUAAAUCUAGUGGCGGUCUCGCUGUAGCUUCCUCUGCGUAGUAGCACACCUCGCACUGGGAAACAGCGCGGCCACGCCGUUAAACACCCAACUUCUGAAAG